GUGCUCACUUCGGCAGCACAUAUACUAAAAUUGGAACGAUACAGAGAAGAUUAGCAAUUAGCAUGGCCCCUGGGCAAGGAUGACAAGCAAAUUCAUGAAGUGUUCCAUAUUUUA
rnacentral:snRNA from 1 species